GUGUCAGCAGCCGCGGUAAUACGUAGGCAGCAAGCGUUGUUCGGAAUUACUGGGCGUAAAGAGUGUGUAGGCGGUUUUGUAAGUUCGGUGUGAAAUCUCCCGGCUUAACUGGGAGGGUGCGCCGGAUACUGCAAGGCUUGAGUGCCGGAGAGGAAGGCGGAAUUCCUGGUGUAGCGGUGAAAUGCGUAGAUAUCAGGAGGAACACCGGUGGUGUAGACGGCCUUCUGGACGGCCACUGACGCUGAGACACGAAAGCGUGGGGAGCAAACAGGAUUAGAAACCCCAGUAGUCC
rnacentral:rRNA from 1 species